rnacentral:rRNA from 1 species
AGAUUGAACGCUGGCGGCAGGCCUAACACAUGCAAGUCGAGCGGCAGCACGGGUACUUGUACCUGGUGGCGAGCGGCGGACGGGUGAGUAAUGCCUAGGAAUCUGCCUGGUAGUGGGGGAUAACGCUCGGAAACGGACGCUAAUACCGCAUACGUCCUACGGGAGAAAGCAGGGGACCUUCGGGCCUUGCGCUAUCAGAUGAGCCUAGGUCGAUUAGCUAGUUGGUGGGGUAAUGGCUCACCAAGGCGACGAUCCGUAACUGGUCUGAGAGGAUGAUCAGUCACACUGGAACUGAGACACGGUCC